rnacentral:rRNA from 1 species
UGUCUUUUGAGUACCUUCGUUUCCUCGGUGGGUUCGCCCGCCGAUUGGACAACACUUAAACCCUUUGUAAUUGAAAUCAGCGUCUGA